AAAAAAUGUCCGUUCGUUCAGUUAACUUCUAACAGUCAACGUUACCUAGUUAAAAUUAGCACGCUAACUUGGUUUGCCAACUUUCCAAUUCAAAUUAACGUUAGCUUGCUAAGGAGAAAGGUAGACGGUAUAAACAUAUUGACAUUACCUUUUAACACUGCGGUUGAUAUUUGAUCCAUGCCCGGAUAUGUGUAAUCCAUUCCAUCUUCAUUCAUGGUGUUAGAUGACUCAAAGAUUUGGACCGUCUUUGACUUUUUAUUUAUAGGCCUCCCUUAUGUAGUUAGAUAAUGUGACCGAGUGCUGAAUAUCAGCAUGGCUGUGAUUCGGUCGUAGGUACGAGGCCAUAGGCCGAGUGCUGAAGAUAAUAAUCAGUGUAACAGCACGACCUCGAGUGUGAUGUUGCUUUUAUACAACAGUUCUACAAGCGCCAUUUAUUAGUUAACAGUAAUAAGCACUAAAAGAUUGAUUUGUUUAUUUGGCUCUGCUAACACACACAGUUCCACAACUGGGCUGGACUGUUGCCAAGCACCACAAACAUUUUCCUGCACACUAGCUUGCUACUUUGUGUAGGUCUACACGUUACCGUCCUCUCCUGAUGACCAUUCAUAAUUUAACUCAAAUGUUAGUGGAAAUAUGUUCAUCUUUGCGGUGCGAAGUUUGUUAACAAUCUAAGAUGGAUAACAAUCGUUAAUGUAAUUAACGGUUACUAGAACACCAGUAAAGCGGAGUGAUACAUGUAUAGUUAAAAGUCCGUGCUGUUACACUCUACUCCAAUCAAAUUACUUGGUCGUAUUAUAAAUACUUGUGAACAUCAUUUUCAGUUAUUUACGCUCUUUUCAUCGAAAGCAGUGGGACCGUUUUACAUGCGUUUGCUUUUAGUAACGUUCAAGAUGCUUUGGCGUUGCGUGAUCUUCUGCGUUUUUAUAACUUUUUCAUUGAAACUGUUAUUGAGCCAUAUCAAUAGAUUGCACAGUCGCAGCCCUGAUUUCUGGUCGCUCUGUGGUAUUGACGGAGGCACCGAGGAAUAUAGAGUGUACAAUUCCUUCUAUCAUCAUGUAAAGAGAAGACACCUUCAACACCUACUUGAAGGCACCCGACCAGGUGAACAGCCAUCGGAGGAAAGCCAAGUACCACCGGAACAAGACAACAUUCAUCCCGAUCAGCUUCUAGCUAACUCUAGCAUCACUGAUCAGCAACUCCAUACACCUGACUUGGAUGAAGGGCAAAGGGGCAUUGACCAACAUGGCGCUGUCACAGUGCAACAAGAUCUGACAAAACAUGCCACUGCUUUUGUGAUAAAUGCCAGAGCGAAGCAUCGUCUCUCACAGAAAGGCGUGAAUGACAUUGUUGCUGGGGUACAGCAGUAUCCAUGAUCACUAUUGGACAACCUCAGGAAGCAGAUGGAGGGAGUGCUAAAGAAGCAUUCAGGAAGCACAUUAGGUCAGCUUGAAAAAGAUGCAAUGGAUAUAUUUGACAAUUUCUUUGACCCCUUUGCUGACGUUGCAGCAACAUUUAGACAGGACAGUGUUUUUAAGAAGCAGUUCAGCUGUUUGGACGCAGAAGAAAUUCCAAUUGCUCGAACCAGAUGCAGGAUGAAAUGUAGAGGCUCAAAAUACUUUUUCAUCAAAGACAAAUUAUUUCAUUAUGUACCAUUAGUCAAAAGUCUAGAACAGUUCUUAUCACACCCAAGGAUUGUGUCUGGUUGAAAAGGGACCCCAGAUGUGCAGGGAAAGUCUUUUUCAUGACAUUGUUGGUGCUCUUCUAAAAUCACAUGCCUUUGCAAUCCCUUUUUUUCAGAGAAACCAGAUGGUUCUGUACAUCAGUAGGAUCCUUUGCCUCAAAAAACAAGUUAAUGGUGUACUACACCCUAGGAAAUAUAAAUCCAAAAUACAGGUCAAAAGUGGCUGAUAUCAGGCUACUUGCCAUGGCUAGAUCAGCAGACCUCCGUCAAUCUGGUGUGGAUGUAAUAUUGAAUAGAAUCAAGGAAGACAUGGAUGCAUUGUACAGUGGGGUUAAAAUGCAAACUUAACGGCGAGAGAACGAUUUAUGGUGCCAUGGCCUCUCUGGAAACACCCUGGCACAACAUGAACUAUCAGGGUUCAAAGAGGCUUUGCCUACAGUAAGUGCAGACAAUGAGUGUUCUGUUAAGGACAUGCAGUCACACUUCAAUGAGGAUGCAUAUUCUAAAAGGACAUUGGAGAAGCAUGUCAGACAGUGUGAUGAAAUAGAAAAGGCAAAGACGGACUUGCUUCGCAACAGCCUAAGAACAACCUAUGGGAUCAAUAGAAGGAGCAAGUUAGUUGAAUUCUCAGCCUUUGAUAUUAUACAACAAACUCCGCAAGACAUUAUGCAUGGAAUUCUGGAGGGCAUAGCCCCAUUGGAAAUCAAAUGUGUUUUGAAUCAUCUUCUUGUGUCAGGACAGAUUGAUCUGGACUCAAGUGAUUUCUGCUAUUCUUGGUUUCCCUUAUUCCCCUCUAGAUGUUAGAGAUCGGCCAUCCCCAAUUUCUGUUAGUACAUUAACGUCAAGUGGUGGUAAACUAAAACGGUCAUCUGGGCAAAUGCUUCCUGCUAAGGAUAUUGCCAUUUGUUUUGGAGAGUUUGGAAGCCAGCGUUCGAGGGCCCCUUGACUCUCCGGAUGAUACGGACUGGAGACCUGAUGGGAAAAUGCAGUGUCUUUAACACAUCUGAGAACAGUUUUGACAAAGUUGGUUCCCUGAUCAGUUUGGAUUGCUUUAGGGAGUCUAAACGUAGAGAAGAACUUCACUAGUGCCUUCACCACAGUCUUAGCCGUUAUAGUACUGAGGGAGAUAGCCUCUGGGUAUCGAGUAGCACUGCACAUUGUUAGUAAGUACUGGUUACCUGACCUGGCUUUCGGCAACGGACCUACAAAAUCGAUUAUCACUCGUUCAAACAGUUCCCCCACCACAGGAAUCGGGCAGAGUGGCGCACGAGGAACUGUUUGAUUCGCUUUCCCAGUGAGUUGACAUGUUUUACAAAAUUAGACCACAUCAGACUUCAAACCUGGCCAGAAAAAAUGUUGAUGGACUCUGUUAUAAGUCUUCGUGAUCCCCAAAUGUCCGGACCACGUCUGGUCAUGGGCGAGUGACAGCACCUGCUGUCGGAACAGUGUAGGAACAACCACUUGACACACUUCACUCCAGUCACUAACUGUUAUGAGCUGCCCAUUUACGCAUCAAAAAUACUGCUUCCAUGAAGUCUGCGGUCUCCCUAGUUUUAGCCUCCUCAGUGGAAAUAACCGAAGCAAAACACUUGAAGAUUGUCUCCCUUUUGACAUUCAAUCACCACCUUGGGGGUGACGAACAGAAUGUCAUGUAAUUGGUGCGCGAUUUCACUUUCCCCUGCCUUAGUUUUUACGGGGGUAAAAACCGUCUGCAUUGCAGAAGGAAUACUCGGGGCAUUGUCUUCUACCUCAACAUUCUCAAAAAUGGAACUAGACAAAUCCACCACAUCUCCCAGCUUGCGAGAUUGUGCCCUCGUUAACACACGCAGGAAAAACAUGGGGAAAUGCUUGAACCAAUUUAUCAUCUGUAGUUUUGAUUUCUGGCUUGUCUACUACCUCUAACACAGGAGUGACGUUACCACCAGCGAUAUCGUUCCCUAGUAGCAAUGUGACUCCUUUUACUGGCAGUGUAGACGCUACACCAACAUGGAAACAUUCUGAUACCAAGUCUGACACUAAGUGGACCCAGUGUAAUGGUACAGGUACGUUUUUUGUCUCUAUACCCUGUAAUAUGACAUGCGAGCCACAAUACGUUUCAGGAGACCAGGGUAAAGCAUCAGUAACGAUUACGGACUGCGCCACCCCGGUGUCUCGUAAGAUUUGUAUGGGCUUUUGAUCAGCUUGUUCUCCAGUUAAAAUAUGUCCCGGGUUCAAAUCCCAGAUGAGCCCCCAUUAUGUUACGCACGCCUCUUGGAGGAGGGAACGCAACACCCUGCUACACUUAACUCCCCGUGGAGUGAAAGAGGUAUGGGGUUGCAGGUGCGGGUAAGGAUGGCAGAGAACUUUACUGUUAACAGGGAAUGUAUUUCCUUCACACGGUAAUUUGGGGAAAAGGGGCUGGACGGAACCAAAGCAAAGAAAGUAAAUGUUAGUCCUCUCUCCUACCUUACCUGCCUACUCACUACUUACCUAAC